GAUGAAGAACGUAGCGAAAUGCGAUAAGUAAUGUGAAUUGCAGAAUUCAGUGAAUCAUCGAAUCUUUGAACGCACAUUGCGCCCGCCAGUAUUCUGGCGGGCAUGCCUGUUCGAGCGUCAUUUUAACCAUCAAGCCCCCGGCUUGUGUUGGGGACCUGCGGCUGCCGCAGGCCCUGAAAUGCAGUGGCGGGCUCGCUGUCACUCCGAGCGUAGUAGUUACAUCUCGCUCUGGGCGUGCUGCGGGUUCCGGCCGUUAAAAGCCUUAUUUACCCAAGGUUGACCUCGGAUCAGGUAGGAAGACCCGCUGAACUUAAGCAUAUCAAUAAGCGGAGGA
rnacentral:misc_RNA from 1 species